rnacentral:lncRNA from 1 species
UAUUCAACCAAGGAGCUUUGAUUCUAAUUUCUCAAAUGCCUGCUUUGAAUCAGUUCAAAGCCAUUCUUCAGAAUUGAUAUCUGAUAGUGAUGAUGAUUCUGACAUCUGCAUAAUAGAAACUAAUUGCCAAUCGGCAAUCCCACCUCGACCUAUCCCACCUCGACCUAUCCCACCUCGACCUCAAGCUAUGAUAAACCCAGUGGUUUCUUCAGAAUAUUCUACAAUUGGUAAUAAUUUUCAUCAACCUGGAGGCCUGAAGCUUCAGUCAAAUAA